UUCAAAUACACAUGAUUUGAUAGCCAAUUUCAUUUCUCCCUCAAUUUGCUUCUUAUUAUUCUAUGGAAUCAAAACCUAGCACAGAGUUUCGAGCGCGAUGAAAGGGAGAUUCGAUUCCAGGUGAUCUAAAUUUAGUAUUGUAGUUCUAUCAUGUGAUUAUCCUGAUAUGAAGUGUGUAUAUGUUUUAGCUUUACUGGAAGGAUUUGACAUAAGGUUCCUAUCAAUUCUCAACUGCUCAUCUCGUUCUUCUUCUUGGAUUAACUGGGUCUGGGGGUUGUGCAAAAUAAAACUGCUAUAAGGUUGUUGCUGCCUCUUCGAUCUGGAAAACCUAUUGGAGCAGAUUUCUUGGAGAAAGAACUCAAAUUUGAAGAUAGGUUGCUCACAUUGCAGAUUCUUUUUCACCCAGCUAUGAAGACUUGGAGCCUAACCUUCUGAAUGUUUAUCUCACAGGUGUAGUAGGCAUACUGUAGACAAUAAUCAUUAAUCAACAACUACAUAGAUCUAGUGGACAGCCAUGCCGGAUACAUGAACUCACCAUUAAGAAUCUUAAAGGUAAGAAAUUGAACGUUCCUUUGGGGUUCAACUACACACCAGGUGGGGAAUGAUCCAAUUGGUCCAAAAUCCAACCUAGGUCCUGCAACGCGGUUGCUGUAGGCUUCACUUUUGUGAAGAAUUAUUAAGUACUGCCGGCUAAUACUUACACCAACAAAGCGAUUUUUCAAUUCCAAUCCCAGUCCCACAAGUAUAAGCGUGGAGCAACGUCAAAUGGAAUCAGUGGUGGUGUUUUCUGUUACCUCGAAUGAGACUGAUAUGAAAUGAUCUUGGUUAGGUGGUGUCUGUAUACAAGUCUUAGGCAUGAAUGGAGAUGGAAUCGAGCUUACGGAUGGUACCCUGCAAAUAUCUAGCUGGUACUUUAAUUUCAUUUGGAGCAUUGAUGUAGUAUCUAGCAUCCUCAACAGAUUUUGGGGAUUUUGGGAUGUGGAUUUAACUUGGGUCUAAUUGAAGUUCUUGAUAAAAUAAGUGCAUAACCCCUGCACCAACCCCUGUAGUACGUAAGAAGUAAAGAUACAUUAUAAUAUGUUUCGUUGCUGUUGUACAAGUCCGUAGAUUUUUCAUUUUAGCCGUCCUUCCCAAGCAAGGUACGAUUUCUGUCCAGUAUAGGUUACGGAGAAACCCUAAUAGCCAUUCAAGAAAAGAUCUCACAAUUCAGGAUACAGAUCAAUACCAUAAUCUUGCAUUGACGGCUACUUUUAUUGCUCCAAAAGGAAAUGGUAAAAAUAGGCUUUUGGAUCAUAUGCUCUGGUGUUUCCUUGCCACGGGUUAUCAAACCAAAUCAGCCAGAGAAUAUGUGAUGUUACUUUCUUGGAUCAGUUUUGCAAGAAAAAAUCUGAAGCUUUAAGAGUGCGGUGGACUAUAGAUUGCAAAAAUGUCUUGCUGCUUUUGAGGUGGAUGAUAUCUAGAGAGAAGAGCAUAAAUGUAGAUUAUCUGGAACAUAUGCUCAAAAGAAACUAAUGAAAGGGCACAGAACCUUGAAUCAUUUCAUUACAAACCAUUACUUGGGUGCGCAGAGCUCAAAUGGUUCCGUUCUUUGUGCAGGCUAUUUAUCGUAAAGAGAAUCCUACCUCUCAAGUUUCGCUUCUCUCAAAGACGAUGAAAUUCAAGAUCGAGAAGAUGAUUAAACGAUGUGACCACAGUAACAGGCAUGAGGAGGAUCCAACAUUUUAAUUAUGAUACAGCGAUUAGACUUGCUUGAUAGUACAUGAUAUUACUCUAUCCACACAGAUAUUUUGUAUAACAGUUGUAAUGAAGUUUGAGACAAGUUUAGUGGUACGCAUAGUAGAAAGGAACCAUCGACAUGAUAUAUGAUCUUAAAAACGCAUUAUAAAGCAAACUCUGUCGGCAUGUUUUAUU